rnacentral:rRNA from 1 species
ACGGAAGGCAGCAGUGGGGAAUAUUGGACAAUGGGGGAAACCCUGAUCCAGCGACGCCGCGUGAGUGAAGAAGUAUUUCGGUAUGUAAAGCUCUAUCAGCAGGAAAGAAAAUGACGGUACCUGACUAAGAAGCCCCGGCUAACUACGUGCCAGCAGCCGCGGUAAUACGUAGGGGGCAAGCGUUAUCCGGAUUUACUGGGUGUAAAGGGAGCGUAGACGGUAUUGCAAGUCUGAAGUGAAAGCCCGGGGCUCAACCCCGGAACUGCUUUGGAAACUGUAGUACUAGAGUGCAGGAGAGGUAAGUGGAAUUCCUAGUGUAGCGGUGAAAUGCGUAGAUAUUAGGAGGAACACCAGUGGCGAAGGCGGCUUACUGGACUGUAACUGACGUUGAGGCUCGAAGGCGUGGGGAGCAAACAGGAUUAGAUACCCUGGUA